rnacentral:rRNA from 1 species
AGCGAACGCUGGCGGCAGGCCUAACACAUGCAAGUCGAGCGCCCCGCAAGGGGAGCGGCAGACGGGAGUGUAACACGUGGGAACGUACCCUUCGGUUCGGAACAACCCAGGGAAACUUGGGCUAAUACCGGAUACGUCCGAAAGGAGAAAGAUUUAUCGCCGAGGGAUCGGCCCGCGUCUGAUUAGCUGGUUGGUGGGGUAACGGCCCACCAAGGCGACGAUCAGUAGCUGGUCUGAGAGGAUGAUCAGCCUCACUGGGACUGAGACACGGCCCAGACUCCUACGGGAGGCAGCAGUGGGGAAUAUUGGACAAUGGGCGCAGGCCUGAUCCAGCCAGGCCGCGUGGGUGAUGAAGGCCCUAGGGUUGUAAAGCCCUUUCGGCGGGGAAGAUAAUGACGGUACCCGCAGAAGAAGCCCCGGCUAACUUCGUGCCAGCCGCCGCCGUAACAC